rnacentral:rRNA from 1 species
AUUGAACGCUGGCGGCAGGCCUAACACAUGCAAGUCGAACGAGUGGCGGACGGGUGAGUAAUGUCUGGGAAACUGCCCGAUGGAGGGGGAUAACUACUGGAAACGGUAGCUAAUACCGCAUACCAUCGGAUGUGCCCAGAUGGGAUUAGCUAGUAGGUGGGGUAAUGGCUCACCUAGGCUAACAUCCCUAGCUGGUCUGCGAGGAUGAACAGCCACACGAGAACUGAGACACGGGCCAGACUCCUACGGUAGGCAGCAGUGGGGAAUAUUGCACAAUGGGCGCAAGCCUGAUGCAGCCAUGCCGCGUGUAUGAAGAAGGCCUUCGGGUUGUAAAGUACUUUCAGCGGGGAGGCGUUACCCGCAGAAGAAGCACCGGCUAACUCCGUGCCAGCAGCCGCGGUAAUUC